rnacentral:tRNA from 1 species
GCGCCUGUGGCUCAAAGGAGUAGGGUGCCAGUCCCCUAUACUGGAGGUGGGAGGUUCAAACCUCCCUGGCCA